GUGCUCACUUCGGCAGCAUAUAUACUAAAACUAGAACAAUACAGAGAACAUCAGCAUGGCCCCUGUACAAGGAUGACAAGCAAAUUUGUGAAGUGGUCCAUAUUUAA